UACGGAGGGAGCUAGCGUUGUUCGGAAUUACUGGGCGUAAAGCGCACGUAGGCGGCUUUGUAAGUUAGAGGUGAAAGCCCGGGGCUCAACCCUCGGAAUUGCCUUUAAAACUGCAUCGCUAGAAUUGUGGAGAGGUAAGUGGAAUUCCGAGUGUAGAGGUGAAAUUCGUAGAUAUUCGGAAGAACACCAGUGGCGAAGGCGACUUACUGGACACAUAUUGACGCUGAGGUGCGAAAGCGUGGGGAGCAAACAGG
rnacentral:rRNA from 1 species